rnacentral:tRNA from 1 species
UCCCAGGUGGCUUAGUGGUAAAGAAUCUGCCUGCCAAGCAUAAGACACAGGUUCUAUCCCUGGGUUGGGAA